GCAAAGCAAAGUAGAAUCGGAUUUUGUUGAGUUGACAUUUUUGGUGCAUUCUUGGUUUAUUAUAAGAUUCAUUUUGCUAGUUCCAGUGAAGCGGUCGCGUUAUUGUUUCGUCUAUAUUAAGUGGCAAUUUUUGUAAUAUAAGAAAGUGCUUAAUUUAAGAAUAUGUGCGCGUUCCUGUACGUAAGCGCAUGCAUACAGUACGCCGUCUGCAAAUCGUUUCCAAAACAAAUAGAAAAUAUAAAUAUACAUUCGGUUAGAGAAAAUAUGUUAAAAUACAUCAAAGUGCGGUGCGGUGAAGAGCAGAUGGUGUUUUGUUAGUGCCCGUCUGCUUGCCGAGUGCAGUGCAUACAAAGGACGCGCGCAUUUUUGCGCUUCGCUGGCAAUGUGAUCAAAUGCAUUUCUCUACACUUAUUAAAUUGUUCAAAUGAAAUGCUUGUGAAAAGUAAACAAAUUUUUAGAAUUAUGAAAAUAUAAGUGAACGCAAAUAUUAAUAGUAAAUUCCAAGAAGGAAUCUGAAAAGGUAAUUGUUUUAGUUUAAAAACAAGAACGGAAAGGGAAGCCACGGAACAGCUGUACCGUACUUAAGCUGUGAUUGGUAGUUAUUUAUUGUAGGCAGUGCAGUUGUGUUGCUAUAUCUACCAGCUGUUGCGAUAAAAUGCCCGUAUGAGUUAAAGAAGUUUCAAAACGUGGACUAAUGAAAACAACCAGCAGGAAAGCUCAACGAUUUUGAAAAAAUCUGUUAUUCCAAAGGAAAAGACAACAAUAUAACCAAAACGUCAAGAUAUAGUAAAUAAACCACGCCAUUUAAUAUAUUCUACAACUCCGUCAGCAAAUUUCAACUCACCAGAUUUUUCGUUCGUUGCAACGUUCUAAUUCUGUAAUGUUAAUUAAUGCAAGUUCCAGUGAAGAAGCUGCUCGUUUUAGUAAUACCAAUUUAACAAAUAAAUUAAUCCAUAAAAAUAUAUGUACCACAGCCAAAAAUUCUGCAAGAUCCAAUCGCCUGUACAAUACCAGUGUCAGCGAACACUACCGAAUGGCGAAUGAAAUAAAAGAGACUGCUACUGUGGGGUGUCACGUCUAUGAUAAUGGCGGCGCAUUGGCACAAAGGUUGAGUGCAACGCUAGGUACUUGCUGGUGUCAUCUGCGAAAGGACCAAGUAAAGUGCGUGAAUUGUCAAAGAGCUGCAGCUGCCGCCGCGACUACGACAACAAUGGCGACAAUGACGACGAUGACCACCAAAGUCGCGGCUGAUAGCAACGAAAGCACUAUUGCUGAAGGUGAUAUUAAAGAUGAUGAUUGUUCUGAUUCUAAUUGUGAUUCCGAUUCUGAUACGGCCGAGAUAGGCAAUGUUACGGUUAAUGAAGGCGGCGAUGCCAGAUCGUCCAUUGAUUGUAAGACAGUUAUGGAGAAUGCAUUUGUCGAUAACGAAGUGACAACGGUUUUGAAUGGUGCUAAAUUUAGUCAAAUAAUGAAUAUAUUUCAAAGUAAUAUUAAUAAUGCUGCUAGUAAUUCUAAUAAAUGCAAAGAAGCGUCUGCAAAUGCUUAUGUUAAUAAGAAUUAUGGGAAAACUGUUUAUAAUAAGAAUAAACGUAAUAGUAAUAGUGAUACAAUAGUGUUUAGUGAACGUAGUCUAAAACUCGCAACUAUAAAUUUAAGCCAAAAUAGUAGUAGUAGUAGUAAUUUGAUUGAAUGCAGUAGUGAAGAAAUCAAAUCUAAUGUGCAUGGUACAAAAAGAAAUUCAACGCAUACUGACGAAGCAAUACCUAGUAGUGAGUUUUGCGCACAAAGUGACACUUUUGCUUCAGCGCGUGCGCAACUGCUUGCCUUCUGGCUGACAUUUGUUGCUUUUUGUGAUGCGGUUACUAUUAAACAUGACGAUCCGAGGCUCAAAGAUGCACGGCGACGUCAAGAACGGGAGAAAUCCAGCAAGGAGCAACAAAAGAAAACAACAGACGCCCAAACGCUGCCUGACAACGAGAAUGAUACUACUAAAGCAAAGCCGGCGCGACAUUUAAAGUUGCUGACCAAUCGCAAGCUAAUACUUCUAUUUGUUGUAUGUGUGUUUUUCUCCUGCUUGAAUCGCAUUGAAGGCCGUCCGAAUAGUUUGCCGCAACAAAAUGUGAUUACCGAUGGUUCAGCCAUCACUUUACCGACCCCAGCGGCUGUUGUCGCUGCUACAACCUCAAAGGCGGCCAGGCAGGACGAAGGCGGUGCAACAACUGCACGUUUAUCGGCCGGUGCUGGUGACAGUGAUGGCAAUAAAAUUGCACUGCAAACAAACGCAAUAGCACCAGAACCUACACCUAGUGAAAAGCCAAAGGAAGUCGAUACACAUAGACCACCGAUAAUGAUUUCAGCACACGACGACGAUGAUCCAUAUGCGCACAGACCAGAGCGCUAUCCGCUCUCGCAAGUUGAUUUUGACAGAGUGAAAACGCCAUUUAUAAUCGGUAUUUGGAUACUAUCAGCGAGCAUAGCGAAAAUUGGUUUUCAUAUGACACCGAAAUUGCACCUCAUUUUCCCCGAGUCAUGUUUGCUUAUAGUUGUUGGUGUUAUUAUUGGUUUUGUAUUGUAUUUCUGCACGGAUGUCGCCGUCUCCCCGCUUACACCCAACACAUUCUUCUUCUAUAUGCUGCCGCCGAUUAUCCUUGACGCGGGCUACUUUAUGCCAAAUCGCUUAUUCUUCGAUAACCUGGGCACAAUCUUAUUGAUGGCUGGAAUUGGCACUGUUUUCAAUACGGCAACAAUUGGUUUAUCUCUUUGGGGCUGCGGUCUGACUGGUAUGUUUGGACCAGAAGUGCCACGGUUUUUGGACACUUUCCUGUUUGCUGCGCUUAUUUCUGCUGUUGAUCCUGUAGCUGUUUUGGCAGUUUUCGAAGAGAUCCACGUUAACGAGGUGCUGUAUAUAGUGGUGUUUGGCGAGUCGUUGUUGAACGAUGCUGUGACAGUCGUAAUGUAUCAUAUGAUGGAAGUAUACAACGAAAUCGGCAUAUCAAAUAUAAUAGCUCAAGAUAUUGCUAGUGGUGUAGGUUCAUUCUUUGUUGUUGCCAUUGGCGGAACUGUUAUUGGCAUCAUUUGGGGCUUCCUUACUGGUUUGGUGACACGUUUCACCGAUCACGUGCGCGUGAUCGAACCAAUAUUUAUCUUCGUAAUGGCAUACUUGGCAUACCUCAAUGCGGAAAUAUUCCACAUGAGCGGUAUUCUGGCUAUAACCUUCUGUGGCAUCACAAUGAAAAACUAUGUUGAAGCGAAUAUUUCACAAAAAUCACAUACAACAAUAAAAUACGCACUCAAAAUGUUAUCCAGUUCAUCUGAAACAAUCAUAUUCAUGUUCCUUGGUGUAGCAACAGUCAACAAUAAUCACGUGUGGAAUACUGCCUUUGUGCUGUUGACUAUCACAUUUUGUUCGGUGUAUCGUGUGUUCGGCGUUGUGAUAUUAUCUGCAUUAGCGAAUCGUUUCCGAUUGCACAAAUUGUCACGUGUCGAUCAGUUUGUUAUGUCCUAUGGCGGCUUGCGUGGUGCGGUCGCUUUUGCAUUAGUGCUGCUGGUUGAUGAACGGAUUGUCAAGCAGAAGGAUAUGUAUGUGACAACCACAAUAGCGGUGAUUUAUUUUACCGUUUUCCUGCAAGGCAUAACGAUAAAGCCGCUAGUAAAGAUGUUGAAUGUGAAGCGAGCAAGCAAGCGGAAGCCAACAAUGAAUGAGCGCAUACACGAACGAUUCAUGGACCACUUAAUGGCCGGAAUUGAAGAUAUAAUCGGAAAGACUGGCAAUUAUAAUGUGCGUGAUAAAUUCAAGCGUUUCGAUAACCGCUUUAUCCGGCCGCUGGUAAUCAGAGACUUAAAGGGUGCUGAACCUAAAAUCAUUGAAACGUAUUCGAAACUCACGAUGCGUGAUGCUAUGGAGGUGAUGCGUCGUAAUCCAUCAACCAUCGGACAAAUAACGGCCACCGAAUCGAUGAGUGCACUGUUCCGAAAUUACACCAGCAAUUGCAUUGGUGGAAGGUGGGCACCGCCAACUAUUUACACAACAUGUCCAAGCCUUACCAAUCUGGACAACAGUUGCUCACGAAAUCUUGAUAUGCAUGAGCUGGACUACAAUCCGUCGAAGAAGGAUCUUACAGAUGCAAAAAUACACCAUCUGCUUGCCGAAGAGCUGAAACCAUAUAGAAGGCACCGCCGCCUUAGUUAUAGCCGACACGCAGUAGACGACAGAGAUUUGUCUACGCAGGUAAAUUACAAAAUGCAAAUGAACUUCCGACGAAUGUUCAACGAUCGGAAACAUCACAAGCGCAGCAAACGCGGCACGAGCAAGCAACCAGACGGCGUUAAACAGAAUCACGUCUCUUUCCACGACUUCCAACAGAAUGGCACAACGAAACAAUUUACGCAUGGAGAAGAUAAUCUGAGUAAACUGAACGAGGUGACUGUGGUUAGCGGCGAGGAUUGGGAUGACGGUUUGACAUUUACGGCAAAGUCUUCGCCGGACUCGGAUCGAGCCAAUAAUAAUUCACUUAUAGCGCACAUACAGAACUUACCCGGUUUCGAUGCAUCGAAGGCGCGCAUCGUACAACAUUAUUCGACAUCAAAGAGUGAGAAUGGCAGCCCGGAGAAAUUGUUAACACCCGACGUGGGUCCGACAGCGGCCGAAUCGAUUUUGCCUUGGCGACGGGAUCGUUCCUACCAGUGCAUUGUUGCCGAGAAUCCUAUACCCGAGGAGGAUCACAAUAUCUCACGUGAUUCAGAUGGUGAACGGCGUGUAGCAACACCUACCGCUACAGAAUCGCAGUUGCCGUGGAAACGGCAGGGAGACGAACUGUCAGACGCAGUGCAGCAGAACGAAUUCCCCGCUUGGGCUUCGAACAAGGAGUAUUUGGCAUAUAAUUCCCCCAGCGCCACAUUUUUGGGUGGCAUAAACAAACCUAAACAGCCCAAGUCUGUCAUAGGUUUAUUUCGACGCGAGAGUUGCGGCUCGAGAGGUGGCAGCAGUCUGGGCGAUCCAACAGAUGGCGCUAGUUCAGCACGUGGCUCAGACCCCACAUUGGCAAAUGCAUUGAUUAGUGGCCUACCGCUGAUGCCGUUAAUACAACCGCCGCAUGCGAAUCCCCGUCUUGAUAAGCGCUCACAAUCGAUUUCGGUAGCCACAUCCGGCGGCCAUGGUGGCAUCGGUAUUAAUAUUGGCGAUUUAGCACAUUCGGGUCCCUUCCCCGUAACGGCCAGCCAUAGGCGUAAUGUGCGGCGUGGUUCAAUGUUGGAGUUAAGUGGCAUCUCUUUGUAGUUAGUGAUCCGGCGCUAGUUAUGUAUAUAAAACAAAUAUUAAUAAUUAGCAACAAAACACAAACUUCAUUGCACAAACACACAAUUAUAUGCAACUAUACAUAAAAACAACACAACACAAAUAUUAGCAGUACUAAUAAAUUAAAAAGUGAGAAAGCUGUGGCACACAAACAACACAUAAGAAUUGGCAAUAACCGGAAAUUCACCAACAUAAACACUGAAUUGCUCAUAUUUUAAUUUUUAAAAAAGACACUAUCCCCGAGGAGACUUACCAGCACGGUCAUUCGAAGUCCUUGUGCGAACCGACCGGCGAAGAUUGGGAAAACA
rnacentral:misc_RNA from 1 species